UACAACUAUACCUUAUUUUGUAAUGGCAAAAUAAUAAUAUUGACAUCAUAUUGACUAGUGCAUUAGAUCACAAAGCAUCAAUGUCAAUCUACAUGUCAGGGACACGUGUCAUCCAUAUAAGUGCUUAUUUCAAGACAUGAAAUAUUUGUCUCUGACAUUCUCACUUUUAAAAUGUCUAAAUACCUAUUAGAUAGAAAAGGUACAGUACACACUGGGAAUAGCACACCACAGCCAAAACAGAUACAAGUAAAUUUACAGUUUUUCUCGAUUGCUUUCUCGAUGCUGAGUAACCUGUACAUUUGCUACAUUUGGAAAUGAAGCUUUUGGAAAAUGGGUAUUUUAUUGUGCAUGGACUCUUCCUUACAUGUUUUGUCAGUGUGACAUUUCAAAGGUCAGGUUUUUGACCAAAACAGCAUAUACAUUAGUAUUCCCUUAUCCACUAAUGUACGAGGUAUUUAUUACAGUAGUAUUCCCUUAUCCACUAAUGUACGAGGUAUUUAUUACAGUAGUAUUCCCUUAUCCACUAAUGUACGAGGUAUUUAUUACAGUAGUAUUCCCUUAUCCACUAAUGUACGAGGUAUUUAUUACAGUAGUAUUCCCUUAUCCACUAAUGUACGAGCUAUUUAUUACAGUAGUAUUCCCUUAUCCACUAAUGUACGAGGUAUUUAUUACAGUAGUAUUCCCUUAUCCACUAAUGUACGAGCUAUUUAUUACAGUACUGUUUUGAAGUUCUCUCGCCAGGGUGUUCCUGAAAAGAUUAUCUGGAUAGUCAGUGCUGUGAUUUUACAAAGUUCAACAUAAUUGAUCUGAAAACCUAUUCUAAACAUUUUGGUAGCAGUAUUUUGAAUAAAUCCCUCCAGUGUGUAACAAACAGUCAUGGAGUCUGUUUUUGACAGUUUGUGUGUGUUGUCUGAGGGCAAAGUUUGAAUUGGGACCCAGAAGUUAGAUGUUUGUACCGUUGGGUGUGAGUUUUUUACAAUUGUGUGUGAAGAUUUGAGAAAAUGGUGAGUUGUUCCAGGAAUUGUGUCUAAGCAAUUGAGAAACUGUAAAAGGGAUAAUCCACCCCGAGAAAUGAAACAGGUCAAUUUCGUGAAAGCCUAUGUUCAAUCAGUGGAUAAAAAAAUGUUUCCCUCAUGAUUAAAAUUUUAAGUGGUGCGUCUGCGAAACCAGGAAAUCAUGUAGGAACGCGUCAUAGCUACACGGUUCUCAUCACUGUAUAUAGUGUGUUUUCUCCUUCAAGUACCAUAAUGCAAUGUGUGUCUGUGGGAAACGUGGGAAAAAGGCAUCGUCCUCUGCUCUCGCUUGGUGAGAGAGCCUCCUAAAUUGAUAAUGUAGUUUGUUUACGUGAUUUUUAAAGCUACAGUGCCUUGCGAAAGUAUUCGGCCCCCUUGAACUUUGCGACC
ensembl:lncRNA